rnacentral:lncRNA from 1 species
CCUCAAAGAUCUCGUCUCGUGAGACCUCUAUGCGACAGUGUCCAGCCUGUGGUUGCUGCAGCGACAGCUCGUGUCUGAGCAGCUUCAGUUUGUGGACCAGGUCUCUCUCGUAGCGCAGAGUCACUUCCUCUUCUCCUCCUCCUCCUCCUCCUCCUUCCUCCUCCUCCCCCACCUCCAUCUCUCUCCCUCCUCCCCCACCCAGCGGCUGAGACGCUUCCUUCACCUGGGAAUGUUGGCUGGAGACACACAGAAAGGUCUGAUGUGUUUUAUUUUACAUAUCUUUCAUACUGAAUGUUAUCAGAUAUUCAACCAAAACCUGAUAUUAGAUAAAGGGGGAAACCUGAGUAAUAUAAUUAUUUUAUUUAUUUAAUUAACUUUCUGCAAUUUUAUUUAUUUAAUUAAGUUAUGUAACACCAAAUUCCCAUUUUUAAAAAAGUAUUUCCCCGUUACACUCAAUAACUGGAUGAGUUAAAAUAAUGUUCUAUGGACAGGUGAGAUAAAGGAAUGUUCUAUAGACAGGUGAGUUAAAAUAAUGUUCUAUAGACAGGUGAGAUAAAGGUAUGUACUAUAGACAGGUGAGAUAAAGGAAUGUUCUAUGGACAGGUGAGAUAAAACAAUGUUCUAUGGACAGGUGAGAUAAAGGAAUGUUCUAUGGACAGGUGAGUUAAAGGUAUGUACUAUGGACAGGUGAGUUAAAGGUAUGUUCUAUAGACAGGUGAGUUAAAGGUAUGUACUAUAGACAGGUGAGAUAAAGGUAUGUUCUAUAGACAGGUGAGAUAAAGGAAUGUUCUAUAGACAGGUGAGUUAAAAUAAUGUUCUAUGGACAGGUGAGAUAAAGGAAUGUUCUAUGGACAGGUUAGAUAAAACAAUGUUCUAUGGACAGGUGAGAUAAAGGAAUGUUCUAUGGACAGGUAAGAUAAAACAAUGUUCUAUGGACAGGUAGGAUAAAGGUAUGUUCUAUGGACAGGUGAGUUAAAAUAAUGUUCUAUGGACAGGGGGGAUAAAGGAAUGUUCUAUAGACAGGUGAGAUAAAAGAAUGUUCUAUGGACAGGUGAGUUAAAGGAAUGUUCUAUGGACAGGUGAGUUAAAGGUAUGUUCUAUAGACAGGUGAGAUAAAGGUAUGUUCUAUAGACAGGUGAGAUAAAGGAAUGUUCUAUGGACAGGUGAGAUAAAGGUAUGUUCUAUAGACAGGUGAGAUAAAGGUAUGUUCUAUAGACAGGUGAGAUAAAGGAAUGUUCUAUGGACAGGUGAGAUAAAGGUAUGUUCUAUAGACAGGUGAGAUAAAGGUAUGUUCUAUAGACAGGUGAGAUAAAGGAAUGUUCUAUAGACAGGUGAGAUAAAGGUAUGUUCUAUAGACAGGUGAGAUAAAGGUAUGUUCUAUAGACAGGUGAGAUAAAGGAAUGUUCUAUGGACAGGUGAGAUAAAGGUAUGUUCUAUGGACAGGUGAGAUAAAAGAAUGUUCUAUGGACAGGUGAGUUAAAAUAAUGUUCUAUAGACAGGUGAGAUAAAGGUAUGUUCUAUAGACAGGUGAGAUAAAGGUAAAACCCUUUGGACAACAUGAAUCCCAAAAAGCAACACAUUUGAAGUUCUGGAACGGCCGAAUCCAAGUCCAAACCAAAUCCCAACGAGAUGUUUGUGGGAGGAUCUGGGCCAAAAUUCCUCCACAUCGAGGCGAGAUGACAACUACAGGAAGUGUUUGGUUGGAGUCAUGGCAACUAAAGGGAACCAGUUAUUGAGCGGAAGGUGGAAAUCACUUUUCACACGAGGGGCAUAACUACGUUUAUGAAAUAACUGAAAUAAGUGCAAUAAGUGCAAUAAGUGCAAUAAGUGCAAUAAGUGUAAUAAGUGCAAUAAGUGCAAUAAGUGUAAUAAGUGUGCACCUGAUGAUGGUGUGAAGCCGAGGGUCAGUGAACUGCGUUGUUCGGUUGUUGUGAUCCACAAAGUAGAUCCUUCCAGAUACCGUACUCCUCACCUCCCAUCCGGCCGGCAGAGGACCCAAC